ACCAUCCUUUCCUUGGGGUCGCACUGCUGUCUAAUGAGUGCAUAGCAAGGGUAGUACUGCUAAUGCGUAUACAUCGCACCUGCGUCAACUGGAACUUUGCUUUACCUUGGUACAGUUUUUGGAAAA
ensembl:snRNA